UUCAAAAGAAUCACAUGCAGCUCCUAAGUGAAAUACUGACUCACAGCUGAGGCUUAUUUUCCCCACAGGUUCAAAUGCUGAAUCUUCAUCAAAUUCAAAAAUUUUGGACAAAGGACUGGCUAAACUCUUUGGUUAUCCUUCACAAAAGAGCUCAAGAGAAACCGACUUUGCACUGAGUUCAAAUAAGCGAGAUGAACAUUUGGCUAAAUUGUUUGAUGAAAUUCUACUGCAAGUAUUUUCCAAAGUUCCAUUAGAAGAAACAAGAGCAGCAGCUGGCAGAUCAAUUACAAAGAGAGACACAAAAGAAAAAAACAAUCCAGCAGAUGAUCAGAAUCACAAUCCACCACACGUGGAAAACAUCUCCCAAACUCUCCGAAGAUCGUCAGAUCACAUUGCAGAGGAGCAGAGGGAUCAAGAAUCCUCUCUAUUCAACAGGGAUGUGAGUGAUACGCAGUCAACGACCAUCAAUAAGGGGACACUUCAAGAAGCAGUCAGUCCAGAUAUUCCGAGCAGGGGCAUGCCGUGCUCACAGCUUCUGCAGUUCCUCCAGAAGAACAUCAUCAUCGCUGCCGUCUCAGUGGUGGGAAUCGUCACGGCCACGGGGCUGCUGCUGCUGGCACUGGUCAUGUACAUCAGGAAGAAACAGUCACUACGUUCUCCGGCAGACAUCACAUACAAUAUUUUUAUAAUGAAUGGAAAGACUUGGUGGCAGAAGUCUCAAGACAAGAAGACCAAAAAGCAUGCAGGAAAACAGAAACGGUUGAAGUUAAAUGCCGGUAUCUAAGCCAGGUGGUGAGCCCAGCCACCAGCACCUAAAGCUGUGACGUGAGGUGCUUCUCCAUCCAGACGCGUGGAAAGGCAUUUGGAUUUCUGGCUGUGAGGUGCACCCUAAAAAAUGUACCUUUUCCUCUCAAUUUUGAAUGGACCAAGAAAACAGUUUUGACCACAGAUUGCUCAUAUGGUAACAGCAUUAAUGGCUAAUACAGGAGGCUUAGCAUGUUUCCCCAGAGACUAACCUGACAAAAUAAUGGAUUGAUUUAUUUAUUAAAACAUUGGUUCGUUUUUUUCAGCCAUUCAUUGAACAGAUAUGAAUUGAACAACUAAUAUCCAGGUGGUAUUAAAAUACACGAGGCAGUCAGAAGUAUUUGAAUCAGGCAUGGCUAUCACAGGUUUCUGAAGACAAGCAAACAGCCAGCUGAAGCUCUCUGGUAGUCAAUUUAUGCCUCUGUGUCUCCACUGCUAAAGGGGCCAAGGGUCUGAGGCUUGGGGUCCAGAGAAGAAAGGAGGGAAGAGGAAACUUAUGUUGGUCUUUCAAGAGCAAGAGAGUGGCCAUUAUAGCUCAGGCUAUUCUUGCCCCUACAUUGGAAGGCAGGGGCCGAAGAGAAGGAUGCUACCUUCCUGUCUCCUGGAAGGGGGUUCCUGAGGCUGGAGGAGGUUGCCCUGCAGCUUCGUGUGUGACCACAGGGGUCCCUCAGGUGCUGUCCAUGCCUUCCCAUGUCACUUGAAGGGGAUGCACACCUUACGUCUGGGAAUGUGAAAGGGGCGAUGGAGGAGCCCAGCCAAAAG
rnacentral:lncRNA from 1 species